AGGGAAUCUUCCACAAUGGGCGCAAGCCUGAUGGAGCAACACCGCGUGAGUGAAGAAGGGUUUCGGCUCGUAAAGCCCUGUUGUUGGAGAAGAAUGUGCGUGAGAGUAACUGUUUACGCAGUGAUGGUAUCCAACCAGAAAGUCACGGCUAACUACGUUCAUGCAGCCGCGGUAAUACGUAGGUGGCAAGCGUUAUCCGGAUUUAUUGGGCGUGAAGCGAGCGCAGGCGGUUGCUUAGGUCUGAUGUGAAAGCCUUCGGCUUAACCGAAGAAGUGCAUCGGAAACCGGGCGACUUGAGUGCAGAAGAGGACAGUGGAACUCCAUGUGUAGCGGUGGAAUGCGUAGAUAUAUGGAAGAACACCAGUGGCGAAGGCGGCUGUCUGGUCUGCAACUGACGCUGAGGCUCGAAAGCAUGGGUAGCGAACAGG
rnacentral:rRNA from 1 species